rnacentral:rRNA from 1 species
AUUGAACGCUGGCGGCAGGCCUAACACAUGCAAGUCGAGCGAGCGGCGGACGGGUGAGUAAUGUAUGGGGCGUGCCCGAUAGAGGGGGAUAAAUACUGGAAACGGUUGCUAAUACCGCAUACAUUCGGAUAACCCAUAUGGGAUUAGCUAGUAGGUGGGGUAAAGGCUCACCUAGGCGACGAUCUGUAGCUGGUCUGAGAGGAGGAUCAGCCACACUGGGACUGAGACACGGGCCAGACUCCUACGGAGGCAGCAGUGGGGAAUAUUGGACAAUGGGCGAAAGCCUGAUCCAGCCAUGCCGCGUGUAUGAAGAAGGCCUUAGGGUUGUAAAGUACUUUCAGCGGGGAGGCGUUACCCGCAGAAUAAGCACCGGCUAACUCCGUGCCAGCCGCCGCGGUAAUAC